rnacentral:rRNA from 1 species
UACGGAGGGUGCGAGCGUUAAUCGGAAUUACUGGGCGUAAAGCGCACGCAGGUGGUUGGGUAAGUCGGAUGUGAAAGCCCUGGGCUUAACCUGGGAACUGCAUUCGAUACUGCCCGGCUAGAGUAUGGGAGAGGGAAGCGGAAUUUCCGGUGUAGCGGUGAAAUGCGUAGAUAUCGGAAGGAACACCAAUGGCGAAGGCAGCUUCCUGGCCCAAUACUGACGCUGAGGCGCGAAAGCGUGGGGAGCAAACAGG